rnacentral:ncRNA from 1 species
AAAAGACUUAGUCCUAACCUUACUAUUGGUUUUUGCUAGACAUAUACAUGCAAGUAUCCGCAUUCCAGUGAAAAUGCCCCUAAAUCUUUUUCCCAAGCUAAAGGAGCAGGUAUCAGGCACACCCAUGAGUAGCCCAAAACACCUUGCUAAGCCACACCCCCACGGGUAUUCAGCAGUAAUUAACCUUAAGCAAUAAGUGUAAACUUGACUUAGCCAUAGCAACUCCCAGGGUUGGUUAAUCUUGUGCCAGCCACCGCGGUCAUACAAGAAACCCAAAUCAAUAGCCAUCCGGCGUAAAGAGUGGCCACAUGUUAUCUACAUCAACUAAGAUCAAAAUGGAACUAAGCCGUCAUAAGCCCAAGAUCCACCUAAGCCCAACCUAAAAAUCAUCUUAGACCUCAUGACCAAUUUCAACCCACGAAAGCCAGGGCACAAACUGAGAUUAGAUACCCCACUAUGCCUGGCCCUAAAUCUAGAUGCCCCGCAUACACCCUCAUCCGCCCGAGAACUACGAGCACAAACGCUUAAAACUCUAAGGACUUGGCGGUGCCUCAAACCCACCUAGAGGAGCCUGUUCUAUAAUCGAUAAUCCACGAUCUACCCAACCACCCCUUGCCAACACAGCCUACAUACCGCCGUCGCCAGCCCACCUCCAAUGAAAGAACAACAGUGAGCUCAAUAGUCUCCGCUAACAAGACAGGUCAAGGUAUAGCCCAUGGGGUGGAAGAAAUGGGCUACAUUUUCUAACAUAGAACACAACGGAAAAGAGCGUGAAACUCGCCCUUUAGAAGGAGGAUUUAGCAGUAAAGUAGGACCAUACCCACCUUCAAGCCUUCUUAAAGACGGCUCUGAGGCACGUACAUACCGCCCGUCACCCUCUUCACAAACCACCAAUACUUAUAAAUAAUUACCCCCCAGGUUAAAGACGAGGCAAGUCGUAACAAGGUAAGCGUACCGGAAGGUGCGCUUAGACCAC